rnacentral:rRNA from 1 species
GACGAACGCUGGCGGCGUGCCUAAUACAUGCAAGUCGAGCGAGUCUGCCUUGAAGUUCGGCGUGCUUGGUCUCUGUGGAACAGGAUAGAAGCUCGCGGCUAACGUGCUAGUAACACGUGGGUAACCUGGCCAAGCGGUCGGGAUAACCCCUGAAAACAUUUACCAAUACCGGAUAACAACAAAUGAUGCCUUUCAUCUGUUUAAAAGAUGGUUCUGCUCUCACUCUUGUAUGGGGCAGCGCCGCAUUAGCUAGUUGGUAGGGUAACGGCUUACCAAGGCGACGAUGCGUAGCCGACCUGAGAGGGUGAUCGGCCACACUGGAACUGAGACACGGUCCAGACUCCUACGGGAGGCAGCAGUAGGGAAUCUUCCGCAAUGGGCGAAAGCCUGACGGAGCAACGCCGCGUGAGUGAUGAAGGUCUUCGGAUCGUAAAACUCUGUUAUUAGGGAAGAACGAAUGAGUAAGUAACUAUGCACGUUUUGACGGUACCUAAUCAGAAAGCCACGGCUAACUACGUG